rnacentral:rRNA from 1 species
CGUAGGGUGCGAGCGUUAAUCGGAAUUACUGGGCGUAAAGCGUGCGCAGGCGGUGAUGUAAGACAGAUGUGAAAUCCCCGGGCUCAACCUGGGACCUGCAUUUGUGACUGCAUCGCUGGAGUGCGGCAGAGGGGGAUGGAAUUCCGCGUGUAGCAGUGAAAUGCGUAGAUAUGCGGAGGAACACCGAUGGCGAAGGCAAUCCCCUGGGCCUGCACUGACGCUCAUGCACGAAAGCGUGGGGAGCAAACAGGAUUAGAUACCCUGGUAAGUCCACGCCCUAAACGAUGUCAACUGGUUGUUGGGUCUUCACUGACUCAGUAACGAAGCUAACGCGUGAAGUUGACCGCCUGGGGGAUACGGCCGCAAGGUUG